rnacentral:rRNA from 1 species
GAUGAACGCUGGCGGCGUGCCUAAUACAUGCAAGUCGAGCGAACAGACGAGGAGCUUGCUCCUCUGACGUUAGCGGCGGACGGGUGAGUAACACGUGGAUAACCUACCUAUAAGACUGGGAUAACUUCGGGAAACCGGAGCUAAUACCGGAUAAUAUAUUGAACCGCAGGGUUCAAUAGUGAAAGACGGUUUUGCUGUCACUUAUAGAUGAAUCCGCGCCGCAUUAGCUAGUUGGUAAGGUAACGGCUUACCAAGGCAACGAUGCGUAGCCGACCUGAGAGGAUGAUCGGCCACACUGGACCUGAGACACGGUCCAGACUCCUACGGGAGGCAGCAGUAGGGAAUCUUCCGCAAUGGGCGAAAGCCUGACGGAGCAACGCCGCGUGAGUGAUGAAGGUCUUCGGAUCGUAAAACUCUGUUAUUAGGGAAGAACAAAUGUGUAAGUAACUAUGCACGUCUUGACGGUACCUAAUCAGAAAGCCACGGCUAACUACGUG